CCAAAAUGGCAGAAAGCGACAUUGGUGCGUUAUCAUGUGAGCCGAUGAAAUGAUGUUUUCUUGAAUUUUUUCGUCGCGAGUGGAUUUUAAAAUUGUGAAUUAGUGAAUUGUGACAUAGCAAACAAUGGCGGACCUUAAAUCGCCGCCGUUUAGUGACAUUAAAAGACCUGAGGAAGUCGUCAGAAUGACGACUAACGAUAGUCUGAAAUUUGCAGUUCUUAUCGGGCUGAUUAAAGUCGGACAGGUAACCAACCGGGAGGUGGUGAACACUGUUCUGCACCUGCUUUCAAAGAUUCCUUUCCAAGAAGUUUAAAAAUAACGCGAGGAGAAAAACAUUUAAAAGAAUAUUAUAUUUCUCGUUCGAAGUAGCAUCGAGUUACUGCUAAAUAAAGGUUAAUUGGAUGUUGUGUUUGAGAAAUAAACUAUUCCGAGCACUGCCCACGGACACUCAUAUAAUU
rnacentral:misc_RNA from 1 species